CUCGCCAGGCCUGCAUUGACGCUCGGGCACGAAAGCGUGGGGAUCGAACAGGAUUAGAUACCCUGGUAGUCCACGCCGUAAACGAUGGGCGCUCGUCGUCGGCGGCAGACAGUCGGCGGCCAAGCGAAAGCGAUAAGCGCCCCACCUGGGGAGUACGGUCGCAAGGCUGAAACUCGAAGGAAUUGACGGGGGCCCGCACAAGCGGUGGAGCAUGUGGUUUAAUUCGAUGAUACGCGAGGAACCUUACCCGGGCUUGAACUGCAGUGGAACGACGGGGAGACCCGAAGGCCCGCAAGGGCUGCUGCAGAGGUGCUGCAUGGUUGUCGUCAGCUCGUGCCGUGAGGUGUCGGGUCAAGUCCCAUAACGAGCGCAACCCCUGCGUCCAGUUGCCAGCGGUCAGGCCGGGCACUCUGGACGGACUGCCCGCGCAAGCGGAGAGGAAGGCGGGGAUGACGUCAAAUCAGCACGGCCCUUACGUCCGGGGCGACACACGUGCUACAAUGGCCGGCACAGAGGGGAGCCACGCGGCGACGCGGAGCGGAUCCCGAAAGUCGGUCACAGUCCGGAUCGGAGUCUGCAACCCGACUCCGUGAAGCUGGA
rnacentral:rRNA from 1 species